UGAUAAACAUUAAAAUUUUAUCUUUUUUCUCUUAUCAUUCAUUAUCAUUUGUUUACCUUCUCCCUUCUCUGUCUCUCCCCUAAUCAUGUGGGAAACAAAAUUUAAGUCAUUUGACUUGUGAGGCCCCUUCAAAAAAAUUACCUAUUAAUAAUUAUCGUAAGUAUCAUUCCUAUCUUUAUUGACACAUGAAGUAUUUUUUGUGUACCUAGAUGUCAAAUACAGUUUUUUUUUUCUUUUUGGGUGCAUGUAAUGGGAAGUUUGAAGUAAGAAUGAAAAUAUGACUUGCGGCAAAGGAACAAAAUUUCAGAGUAAUCAGAUCCAACUGAUUCUUAUUUAUUUAUUAUUUUAUUUAAUUCAAUCUUAUCUCAGUUCACAGGGUAUCAAAAAUGCCAGAUUCCGAAGUCGGAAGUGACACCUCCUCAUGCUAUAUUCCUAGGUUCCCCACCGAAGUUACCGAAGUAAUUCUAUCAAAAUGUGAUGGGGAGACUCUUUUGGAAGCUAAAGCAGGGGACAAAAUAUGUGCAAGAAUUAUUGAUACGAGAAUCGACUGGCAGCAAAGAUGUAUGAGUGAGAUUCCAGAGCGCUUACGUGAGGAAUUGCUUCUUCAAAUGUAUCCAAAACAUUGGUUCACAGAUGACGUCAACUGGCCAACAGUAUUUGAGACAUGGGUAAAGUGGAAUAAAUUUUUCAUUAACCUGGGCAAAUCAUGUGAAGUGGAGAGAAUGGAGGAACCACCUUACAGCAUUAAUUGUGUUGAAGUAUCGGGUGAUAUCGCUUUUGUUGGUCAUGCACAAGGUGUUCAAUCUUACAACUUGACAUCAGGUGAAUCAACUGUCAUUUUCCAUGGGAUUGCCGUUGACUCAAUGGAACUAUUCACACAACCUGGUGCUCCUACAAAUGACAACGAAAUAUUAAAGGGAUGCCUUCAUGACAAAUUGGAUUUAUAUUUGAAGCCUCGAUUUCAUAAUAUAAUUGACCUAAGAAAGAGAUAUCAUUACUCUCGCAGUUAUAGCCCUGUGCGGGAGAAGGUGUUGACAAGUGAGUUACCUAAAAGUCCUUUUUUUUAUCUUCCUUUUCCAUUUUAUUUUUUAUGUUUUUGUGUAAAAGGGGUCACUCAACUUUGA
rnacentral:lncRNA from 1 species